rnacentral:rRNA from 1 species
AGUGAACGCUGGCGGUAGACCUAACACAUGCAAGUCGAACGGCAGCACAGUAAGAGCUUGCUCUUACGGGUGGCGAGUGGCGGACGGGUGAGGAAUACAUCGGAAUCUACUUUUUCGUGGGGGAUAACGUAGGGAAACUUACGCUAAUACCGCAUACGACCUACGGGUGAAAGCAGGGGAUCUUCGGACCUUGCGCGAUUGAAUGAGCCGAUGUCGGAUUAGCUAGUUGGCGGGGUAAAGGCCCACCAAGGCGACGAUCCGUAGCUGGUCUGAGAGGAUGAUCAGCCACACUGGAACUAAGACACGGUCCAGACUCCUACGGGAGGCAGCAGUGGGGAAUAUUGGACAAUGGGCGCAAGCCUGAUCCAGCCAUACCGCGUGGGUGAAGAAGGCCUUCGGGUUGUAAAGCCCUUUUGUUGGGAAAGAAAAGCAGCAGGUUAAUACCCCGCUGUUCUGACGGUACCCAAAGAAUAAGCACCGGCUAACUUCGUG